ACCGGCAGCUCAAGUGGUGGCCAUUUUUAUUGGGCCUAAAGCGUUCGUAGCCGGUUUGAUAAGUCUCUGGUGAAAUCCCGCAGCUUAACUGUGGGACUAGCUGGAGAUACUAUUAGACUUGAGGUCGGGAGAGGUUAGGGGUACUCCCAGUGUAGGGGUGAAAUCCUAUUAGCCUGAGAGGACCACCUGUGGUGAAGGCGCCUAACUGGAACGAACCUGACGGUGAGUAACGAAAGUCAGGGGCGCGAAUCG
rnacentral:rRNA from 1 species